CCAUCUCAAGGAUGAUCAGAAUUUAUGGACAGCAUCUGAGUUAAAUAUAUGAGUGUCACAUUAAAGGUCUGAAUACUUGGGACCAUGUUUCAGGACUGGGUAUGCACCAUUCACGAUCAGGUGGGAAACACCGGACACAUUUCAGAGCAGAACCUGUAGCAGAAUGGCAAUCAAAAGCCACAGUAAACAUUCUGCAAGCGUAAAAGUACUUCUAGACAAAAAUCACCGGUCCAGGAGGAUGGGGACUAUACUCCUUCCUUUUUCAUAGUUGGCUGAUACACAAUGAUAUUCUACCUCUUCACAAGAAUUACUCAUCUUUGUAAUAAUGCCGAGACUAAGUGAAAGACUACAGUGAAAUAA